rnacentral:lncRNA from 1 species
UGCACCGCUAGGUCCCGUCCACAGCCGCUCACUGCCGCCACCUCUAACGCGCCUAGGACCAUCGCCACCUCCACAUCUAGCUUCUGGAGUCGAGAUCCAUGGUCGACUCCACUGGAGGAGCCCGGAUCUGGCCUACCGGGCACGGUCUCGAGCUUUAGGCAUCUCAGCAGGCAGCGGUGUACUCCGUCAUCGCCCAAUGGAGCAGCCGACCAAGCAAGAACUCUAUCCAUGCUCGUGCCGAGGCGCUGUCUCUACUCUCUACUCCAUCCGUUCUGUUCCCGCGCCUGCGCGUCGUCCUCUACGGAUCCGUCCACUGCCGCGCCAGCACGAUGUGAACCGAGACACGCCUCCGCCUAUGCGUCCAAGACACGCCUCUGCAUUUGCGUCCGUGCACUGGCUACGCGGCAUCGAUUACGGAGUGGAGGCAUGGGAUUAUUAUCUGUUGCAUCCAAAUUUUUAUACACUUUAUUAUGUUCAGAUUUGGAGCCUUGACUCCUGAACCUGAAUAUCAUCUACCUGAGACGAAUUUUAAGGUUGGGAGAUUCCUGGAAUUUUUCACGCGUUAUGGUCGGCAAUAUUUGAUUUUUAUUGAUGAAGAUAAGGAAGCACGCAUAUGUAUUUUUAUCCAGAAACGCACUGCUUAUUACUUAUAUUAAGUACCCACGCAGCACAGUGCUGUACUAAUAAUAUUGCAAGCUUUGUUUGUGUCAAAUCAUGUAUGGGACUUGCGGCAGGGGGAAUUUGUUUUUAAGAAGCGAAAAUCAUUGUCUCUUGAAGCUUCAGUCUUCUCAUCUCCCAAUCUACUGUUACUACUUACACCUUCAUCUAAACGCACUUGUUGUUUCUGGAACGCUAAGAAAUUCAUGUAACAAAUCAUGUGGAAGUUGAUAGAUUAGUUAGCUUAUAAUACCAAUAACCUAGUAGUGCAUUGGUGCAGAUACUAGCUAUGGCAUAUCUGCAAUGAGAAAAAAAAGUUGGUUUUUUAACACACGUCAAAACGUGUCAUUUUUCUAUUAAGAAGAGCACGUGAAGUGGUUCAUUGGGGCCUCCAAUUAGUAAUUAACACCAAUAUUUGUCUCAUGCUAAAUACUGAACUAAAUGUUAAUUUUAUGUCUUUGCAGUUUUUAACUGGGCUCAAACAUGCCUAGUUUCCCAUUUAACAACUAUGAACUCUAGGGUUAAAUACUACACAAUACUAGGAAACAUGUAAUUGUAUUGGAAUAUAUCCAAUUUAUACAGGAUGAUUUACAAAAUGUAGGCUUUAUUUACAACAUGUAAUUGUAUUUGUGCAAAUGAUUCUCUUUCCUUGUUAUCGAUUUUGAGUGGGCAGUAGUGACAUCCCAAUCUUUAAACCCACCACAAUUGGUAGAUCAUCCUAGCAUGAUAGGGCACUAAUCCAUGAACAUUCUUCUGUGGUUAAAUUUUUGGAUGGAACUUUUACAUUAAUCAAUUUCAGCAUACAUUAAAAUACUGUGAACAAAUUAAUAGUGUUUGGAAGACACGUACAUGAGGACCAAUGGGAUUAUUGACGGAUACUUGUCUUAGGUUUUCUAGAAAUUGGUUAGUAAUGUAACUUAGUAUUUCUAGAAAACACUAAUAUAUAUGUUUUGGCUAUGGUGGUCAUUCAAGAAAAGUAUAGUGACAAGCAUAUGUUCCUCCUGCUUUACAAGGAUGUUUGAUGUUAGUUCACUUUUGUCAGAAAGCACAUCCAGCUACUAUUUUUUUCCUCCCAUUGGAUCAGCAUCUUCAGUCUUUUUGUUUAGGCACAUUGUAGUCUUACAAGCCUCCACACUAGAGAUACAUGAUAGAUACUACACAUAUGUAAUGAACCAGAUUCUACAUUACUCUUAACACAAAUUAUAUUUUGAGCGUAUGCAUCUGUAUUUCUAGAAAACAUUAAUAUAACUCAAGACUUCUACAAUACUGUUAACUGCAAUUUAUAUCAAUUUGCAAAAUGUGGCAGGAACAUAGUUUGAUUGAUAUUUUGUUUGAUUAUGGAUAGUCUACCUACUCGCAAUUCUCUACAUAUGAGGACUUGAGGAUUUAGAGCAAGACCUAAAGUAAGUUACUCUGAGGUAUAUACAUUUUGGUCCCCUCCGAUCUGCUUCACCUUCAUCCUUAAUUACAUCCCAAACAUUUAUAAGUCUGAUGUUGCUUAUUAGAGCCUUUUAAAAAAAUUGAAAACACAAGAGAGUUGCAUGUCCUAUUAAAAAGAGGAUGGUCAUAUUGUGGAACUGUUAUUUUGAAACGAAGUGGUCUUAUUGUCUGAACCUGCUAUUUUGAGCUCUGAAAUAUAUGUGAUUGACUAUAGAAUUAUUUCAAGAACAAACUGUUAUUGGCAUUUGUUCUUGCGAGUGUCCAGCAGUAGCAUGCUUGUCACUCUGGUUUGGAAAUAUUAAAAAUUUCAUCUUUGACCGACUGAUAAAGAGUAGAACAAAAUAUAUUUGCAUUUCCCCUAGUCAAUGAACCAGUUCAAUUUACACCAAACAAUUUCUAUACAAAGGUAUACCCUUGAAGGGACACACUUUAUGAUUCCAUGGUUUGAAUGACCAAUCAUUUAUGAUGUCCGUGCUCGACUGAAUCUCGUUGAGAGUACUUCUGGGAGCCUAGACCUUCAGAUGGUAAGUAUAUACAUCACUUUUGUUCAAUUCCACCGGCCUCUCAAUCUUCAUGAUUCAGAGCCUCUUAGUUCUUAUGUAAAUGUUGAUGUUGACUGCUUGAUAUGCAUGCUUUUAUGUCCAUUGGUUAUUGCAUCACAAUGUUCAUCUAAAAUUUGGGCUGACAAACCUGUUUCUUCCUUGACUUAUUGUUCAUUUGACCCCUUAAAGCUACCACUGUCUAUUAUGAUUAUUUCAGCACCAAUAGUUUGUCUGCAGUUUUCAUUGAAAUAUUUAUUCAUUCAAAAGUUGGGACCAAUGAACCUGAUAAAUUCAGAACAUGUUAUGGCUUUGAGGAAUAAAUGCAGUUUUUAUAAUUUAUCGUUUAUGUUUAUAUCAUAAUAUGUCAUUUGUACCCUUGUCUAAGUAUAGAAACGGUUGCUUGUCUUAUGUCAACACAAAUCAAAUUUUGUAGGAUUUGUGGUUUUGUAUAAGGACGAUGAAAGAUUUAAGUGUCCAACAUUUGAUCUUUAAACUUUAGUCAACUAUUAUAUUUUUAGACCAAGAAAUCAAAUGUAUCUUAACAGAUUAAGAAAUCACCAAUGCAACAACUAUUUUGGAUUCCAAGCAAUUUCGGUGUUACAAAUGAGGCUAGCAUCUCACCUGAAGUUCUCAAAAUAUAUUUUUUUCCUGAUCAUGGGUUGUAUCAUUGUCUGAUUGACAUUUUCAUGAUUACUCUAAGGUAUAUACAUUUUAGUCCACUCUGAUCUGCUCCACCUUCAUCCUUAAUUACAUUCCAAACAUUUAUAAGGCGAACGUUGUUUAUUAGAUUCUUUUUUAAAAAAACUGAAAAUAUAGCAGAGUUGUAUGUCCUAUUAAAAAGAGGAUGAUCAUAUUGCCUGAACUUUUUAUUUUGAAACGGAGUGGUCUUAUUGCCUGAACCUGAUAUUUUGAGCUCUGAAAUAUAUUUGAUUGACUGUAGAAUUAUUUCAAGAACAGACUGUAUUGUAGUAACCUUUUUCUCCUGGAGUAUAAUUAUCUGUAUUUGAAUGCUCCUUUUAUAUGAUGAUGAAUUGUUCUACAGUAUCUUUAUUUGCAAAUGUAGCAACAAUAUACUAAUUUGAUGUACUUUUUUCUAGGGUGUUCUGGACAAAGAAAGCUUGUACCUUAAAACAGGAGGAUACAAGAAGCUGGAGUGGUAGUCUGAAAGCUUUUGAACUGCUUGAAGCAUUAGUGUAGCUUUGGUGCUUUUGUGACUGAUCAGCUCUGGAGCAGCUAGAGUGAUGUAGUUGUGGGCUUUUGAACAAUAGCUAGAGUGAUAUGAAACAUUAGUGAUGUAGUUGUGGGCUUUUGAACUGCUUCACGCUGGAGUGAUGUUGUUGUGGUGCUUUUGUGACUGAUCAUUUCUGGAGCUUUUGUGAAUGAUCUAGCUAGCUAACUGUAAAUGAUCUAGUUGUGAAUGAUAUUAUAAUUGUGAUACUUUUGUGAAUAUAUAAUUGUGGUGCU